GGUGGUUCAGUGGUAGAGUGUUUGCCUAGCAUGCAAGAGGCCCUGGGUUCAAUUCCUCAGCACCA
rnacentral:tRNA from 1 species